UCCAGACUCCUACGGGAGGCAGCAGUGGGGAAUAUUGCGCAAUGGGCGAAAGCCUGAUGCAGCGACGCCGCGUGAGUGAAGAAGUAUUUCGGUAUGUAAAGCUCUGUCAGCAGGGAAGAAGAAAGACGGUACCUGACCAAGAAGCCCCGGCUAACUACGUGCCAGCAGCCGCGGUAAUACGUAGGGGGCAAGCGUUAUCCGGAUUUACUGGGUGUAAAGGGAGCGUAGACGGCAGGGCAAGUCUGGAGUGAAAGGCAGGGGCCCAACCCCUGGACUGCUCUGGAAACUGUCCGGCUGGAGUGCAGGAGAGGUAAGUGGAAUUCCUAGUGUAGCGGUGAAAUGCGUAGAUAUUAGGAGGAACACCAGUGGCGAAGGCGGCUUACUGGACUGUAACUGACGUUGAGGCUCGAAAGCGUGGGGAGCAAACAGGAUUAGAUACCCGAGUA
rnacentral:rRNA from 1 species